CAUGGUCUGAGGAUGCCAAGUCUGGUUUACAGUAUGUGUUAAGUACAUUGUUUCAGCUUCCAGAGAACUUGCUUUUGGAGUGCGGAUCCAGUGUG
rnacentral:lncRNA from 1 species